rnacentral:rRNA from 1 species
AUUGAACGCUGGCGACAUGCCUUACACAUGCAAGUCGAACGGCAGCACGGGUGCUUGCACCUGGUGGCGAGUGGCGCACGGGUGAGUAAUACAUCGGAACAUGUCCUGUAGUGGGGGAUAGCCCGGCGAAAGCCGGAUUACUACCGCAUACGAUCUACGGAUGCAAGCGGGGGACCUUCGGGCCUCGCGCUAUAGGGUUGGCCGAUGGCUGAUUAGCUAGUUGGUGGGGUAAAGGCCUACCAAGGCGACGAUCAGUAGCUGGUCUGAGAGGACGACCAGCCACACUGGAACUGAGACACGGCCCAGACUCCUACGGGAGGCAGCAGUGGGGAAUUUUGGACAAUGGGCGAAAGCCUGAUCCAGCAAUGCCGCGUGUGUGAAGAAGGCCUUCGGGUUGUAAAGCACUUUUGUCCGGAAAGAAAUCCUUGGCCCUAAUACGGGCGGGGGAUGACGGUACCGGAAGAAUAAGCACCGGCUAACUACGUG